GACGAACGCUGGCGGCGUGCUUAACACAUGCAAGUCGAGCGGUAAGGCCCUUUCGGGGGUACACGAGCGGCGAACGGGUGAGUAACACGUGGGUGACCUGCCCUCAGCUCUGGGAUAAGCCUGGGAAACCGGGUCUAAUACCGGAUAUGACUCCAUGACGCAUGUUGUGGGGUGGAAAGCCUUGUGCGGCUGAGGAUGGGCCCGCGGCCUAUCAGCUUGUUGGUGGGGUNAUGGCCUACAAGGCGACGACGGUAGCCGGCCUGAGAGGGCGACCGGCCACACUGGGACUGAGACACGGCCCAGACUCCUACGGGAGGCAGCAGUGGGGAAUCUUGCGCAAUGGGCGAAAGCCUGACGCAGCGACGCCGCGUGA
rnacentral:rRNA from 1 species